GACGAACGCUGGCGGCGUGCUUAACACAUGCAAGUCGAACGGUGUGGAGAACGGGUGAGUAACACGGGGGUGAUCCGCCUCACACUUCGGUAAAACCUUGGAACACUGGGUCAAAUACCGGAUAGGGGAGGAUGGGAUCGCGGCCUAUCAGCUUGUUGGUGGGGUAGUGGCCUACCAAGGCGUCGACGGGUAGCCGGCCUGAGAGGGUGGACGGCCACAUUGGGACUGAGAGACGGCCCAGACUCCUACGGGAGGCAGCAGUGGGGAAUAUUGCACAAUGGGCGGAAGCCUGAUGCAGCGACGCCGCGUGGGGGAUGAAGGCCUUCGGGUUGUAAACUCCUUUCGACAGGGACGCGGUACCUGUAUAAGAAGCACCGGCUAACUACGUGCCAGCAGCCGCGGUAAUUC
rnacentral:rRNA from 1 species